rnacentral:lncRNA from 10 species
GUGUGUGGUUGUCAAGAUAAAAUGAAAAAAUGUAAUCAACAAACAGCAGAAUUCUUUGGCCUCGGCCGGCAUACAGUAGAUGUGAGAAAAACCUUCUUGGCCUCUAACUGAGCAGCCCUCCAUAGAGGAUUAUUAGUUCAUGCCUCUGUGCAAGAAAGAAAAACAAAAACAAAAUGCAUGAGUUCAUUCACUCUCCCAUCUCCCCUGCUGGCCUGAGAGCACCUGAACAUAGUGAUGGUACUGUAGCCAGUCAUCUGUGCAUCCUCUGUGCUCUGCCCACUGCCUGGCAUGUAGAAUAUGCCCAGCAGGGGAUUUUCAGAGCUGACCAGAUGGGAGAGUGGUGAAACUGAAGAUCAGCCCUUUUCCCUGCCUGUAAGCACCUCUAGGAAAAGAUUUAAGAGAUGUUGCAAACAAAUCACUCCAACGUAUUUGGGAUUGCUCAUUGUGAUGCCUGAUCUGUGCCAGCCUCUUCCUACCACAUCUAUGACUGUUACAGGGGUAACUGUUCCAUCCCUUAGUCUGCAGCACCCGGAAUGGAUGUGGAAUCACUGAAGGAGGUGAGUGGGGAAGAAGACAAGUUGGAUCCUGACAGUUUAAACCCAGGUGUUUUGCAAAUCCAUCCCUUAGUCUGCAGCACCCGGAAUGGAUGUGGAAUCACUGAAGGAGGUGGGUUGGAAAGAAGACAAGUUGGAUCCUGACAGUUUAAACCCAGGUGUUUUGCAAAUCCUUCCAAAAUAUCACUUGGCUUUUCCUCUCCAUACCUCCUCCCUUGCCCAGUUGGAAAAAAUAACAACAACAACAACAACAACAACAACAACAACAACCUGCAGUACGUGUGCCCACAUCCUCCUCUGGAUGAAAUAGAGUUGCACAGAGAAAAGGAAAGUUGAUUUCCUAGUUAUUCUCCCACACAUGGAGUUCUGGGUGGCACCAUCCCACACUAUUUGCAUCACUGAGCUACACACUCUGCCAAGACUGCCUCUUAAAUUUAAACACAUUUUGAUGAAAAUAGAGAAAGGCUGAGGAAGAAAGGUUAACACUUC